ACAGCCCAACCCCAAGGCCCAUUAGCAGUUUGUUCUCUCUCACCAUUCACGCAACAGCCAUGCCCAAUGCAUUCACCGCCGUCGCCUCUCAGCUGUGCACCGCCGCCGUUUCACCACCAUCGGUAACGGUCAUCGUUCCGCCACAACACGACUGGAUACUUGGAUACUGGCUGUCACUCCUUGUGAAGCUUCGAAAGCCAUUUUUUUCCAUGGUGUUGGGGGUUAUGCAUACAUAUAUCAUGGAGCCUCCAUGAUGGCACGGAAUGAUCACUAGUAAGCCAGUGAUAAUUAGGGAAAUUUCAAAUUUUUUGGCAAAUAGCCCCCACAGUGCUUGUUUCCCUUCUCUUGGUGCAUUCAGUAACAUCGUUAGGUAAGCUAUUCCCAAUACUAUUUUCAAUUUAUGCCCAAAUUAUGCAAUCCUUGAUGUUGAAUAUGGUAUGCUGUAAUCUUAUAUUGGCCUACUUCAUCUUAAAUCAGAAACUGUAUGUACUAGAGAUAUUGGGUUUUUAUAUUUGCGUCGUUGGUUGUGUCAUAAUUGUUAUAGAUGUGCCACAAGAGCAGCCUAUUUCUUCUGUGCAGGAAAUUAGAGUAUGGUAACACAGCCAGGUAGUAUAAGUCUUUGUUUUGUUCGCCUAUUGCUUGAAAAGUCACUCUCUACCACAUGUCAGUCAUUCAUUUGCGACGGUAGCGUCUUUCUCACUAUUCACAUGUAUUUUUUUAGGUGCUGUGUGUAGAGGAAAUGUAAAGUGCUGCCAGGUGAUGAUAGUUCACCCCAUUAAUUUUUGAAAUUAUAUUUAUGUAGUACAUCAUUGUGGAGCUUCUCAUUAAGGAGGUGAAGCUUGUGAUACACUUGUAACUCCGGUGGCACCUCAUUCUUAGAAGAGAAGUAGAGGUGCUGAGUCCACAAUUUAUCAGAAAAGGAUAUCCUGGUAACUUUACCCGACUGAUGAUAAGACUUUUCUAACUCCCCAACUCCCCUGGUGGUUCAUAUGAGGCCAUCCAACAAGAUAAUGCUUCACUCCUAAAUUCCAUUCCUAGAUAUGAUUAUAAACAUGCUCAAGGUAUGAGUUCUCAUCUUUUACUUUUUUCUGGUUUACUAUCUUAUGCUCUUUAUUUCUCCUUCAUUUCUCACUUUUGGCCCUACAUUUGGAUGUGUGUGUGAGAGAGACAGAUCUGUAGAGCAAGAUGAAGUGAUAUUAUGAGGCAGUAGUAGCAAUGAGCUGUUUAGUAGCCUCCCAAUAUCAUGUAAUAGUAGAUUCUGUUACUAUUUGCAUUUCUAUCUGAUGUAUUUCUAUUCUGUAAUGUUUCUUUAGCAUUUGCAAAUUAGUUUUAUCCAUUGUAAUGAAACUCCUGCAAAUGAUGUGUAUAAAUGAAGUUAUGGUUGAAGAUCAUUAAUAAUUAGUGAA